CCCCGACGCUUUGAUGGGUCGUUGAGCCUCUCCAUCAGUGUAUCCUUGAGCAUUUUCAACAUCUUCUCUCGGUCCUGAAUCAAUAGAAAGAUAUGUUAUUGAAUGGUCAUUCCUGAGCAGUGAUUACCAAAUAUGAGCAAAUCUCAAGGUUCAGGGACUCCUCUGUUUACCUGCAUGCACUUGUGGAACGAAGUGCCAGGAAUAUUCAAAGGCAAGGAGAUGAAACUGUUCAAGAUCUUCGUGUAAUUCUCACUGAGCUUCUCUUUUGAGUUCUCGGCAUCAUAACCAAAUAUUUUGUUUGCAGUAAAAUUGAAAA